AUUGAACGCUGGCGGCAUGCCUUACACAUGCAAGUCGAACGGCAGCACGGGUGCUUGCACCUGGUGGCGAGUGGCGAACGGGUGAGUAAUACAUCGGAACGUACCUUAUCGUGGGGGAUAACGCAGCGAAAGCUGUGCUACUACCGCAUACGCCCUGGGGGGGAAAGCGGGGGAUCGAAAGACCUCGCGCGAUUAGAGCGGCCGAUGCCUGAUUAGCUUGUUGGUGGGGUAAAAGCCCACCAAGGCGACGAUCAGUAGCUGGUCUGAGAGGACGAUCAGCCACACUGGGACUGAGACACGGCCCAGACUCCUACGGGAGGCAGCAGUGGGGAAUUUUGGACAAUGGGGGCAACCCUGAUCCAGCAAUGCCGCGUGAGUGAAGAAGGCCUUCGGGUUGUAAAGCUCUUUUGUCAGGGAAGAAACACCGGCUCUAACACAGUCCGGGAAUGACGGUACCUGAAGAAUAAGCACCGGCUAACUACGUGCCAGCAGCCGCCGUAA
rnacentral:rRNA from 1 species